GACGAACGCUGGCGGCGUGCCUAAUACAUGCAAGUAGAACGCACAGUUUAUACCGUAGCUUGCUACACCAUAGACUGUGAGUUGCGAACGGGUGAGUAACGCGUAGGUAACCUGCCUGGUAGCGGGGGAUAACUAUUGGAAACGAUAGCUAAUACCGCAUAAUAUUAAUUAUUGCAUGAUAAUUAAUUGAAAGGUGCAAUUGCACCACUACCAGAUGGACCUGCGUUGUAUUAGCUAGUAGGUGAGGUAACGGCUCACCUAGGCGACGAUACAUAGCCGACCUGAGAGGGUGAUCGGCCACACUGGGACUGAGACACGGCCCAGACUCCUACGGGAGGCAGCAGUAGGGAAUCUUCGGCAAUGGACGAAAGUCUGACCGAGCAACGCCGCGUGAGUGAAGAAGGGUUUCGGAUCGUAAAGCUCCGUUGUAAGAGAAGAACGGGUGUGAGAGUGGAAAGUUCACACUGUGACGGUAUCUUACCAGAAAGGGACGGCUAACUACGUG
rnacentral:rRNA from 1 species